UGCCUUUUGUUUCAUUAAAUAUAAAUAUAUAAUAAAUACUUUAAACUUCCAGGAGCUGCAUUUCUCCAUCCAAUUUACAUCCAAUUCAUGCAUUAACCAUUUUCCAUUUAGCCACACCUCAUCGCAAAAACCCCAACUCAUCAAGGCAAACGUAAAGAAAAUAACUGCAUUUGCGGUGAAAUUUGUUAACUGGCCAACAAAUGUUGGCAAUGAGAAGGGAAAACUGGAAAACCGCUGGACGAUGCACCCAUUAUGACAACGUCAGUCAACCGCAGCGACCAAAGGAAUGCGACAACAGGAAAAUGGCAUACAAAAAAAGAGAGUGCUCUUGCUUUGGGUGAAAAUAACCAAAAGGGAGCCCUCAUCAAAAACGCAUCUAUCAUUCGACAGAUUGCACAAAAACUACAAAGAUACUGACUGUGAUCCAGCUGUCACAAUUAGGCGAAAACCAGGAAACUGAGAAUUGUUGCGAAGUGGAAUAUGUAAAAUUAAAAUUAAUAACUCAAAUGU
ensembl:ncRNA lncRNA:CR46063 long non-coding RNA:CR46063